rnacentral:rRNA from 1 species
GAUGAACGCUAGCUACAGGCUUAACACAUGCAAGUCGAGGGGAAACGAUAUUGGAAGCUUGCUUCCGAUAGGCGUCGACCGGCGCACGGGUGAGUAACGCGUAUCCAACCUGCCCAUCACUUGGGGAUAACCUUGCGAAAGUAAGACUAAUACCCAAUGAUAUCUCUAGAAGACAUCUGAAAGGGAUUAAAGAUUUAUCGGUGAUGGAUGGGGAUGCGUCUGAUUAGCUUGUUGGCGGGGUAACGGCCCACCAAGGCGACGAUCAGUAGGGGUUCUGAGGGGAAGGUCCCCCACAUUGGAACUGAGACACGGUCCAAACUCCUACGGGAGGCUGCAGUGAGGAAUAUUGGUCAAUGGGCGAGAGCCUGAACCAGCCAAGUAGCGUGCAGGAUGACGGCCCUAUGGGUUGUAAACUGCUUUUAUAAGGGAAUAAAGUGGGAGUCGUGACUCCUUUUGCAUGUACCUUAUGAAUAAGGACCGGCUAAUUCCGUGCCAGCCGCCGCGGUAA